rnacentral:rRNA from 1 species
CCUACGGGAGGCUGCAGUGGGGAAUAUUGGACAAUGGGGGCAACCCUGAUCCAGCCAUGCCGCGUGUGUGAAGAAGGCCCUCGGGUUGUAAAGCACUUUCAGUGAGGAAGAACGCCUGGUGGUUAAUACCCAUCAGGAAAGACAUCACUCACAGAAGAAGCACCGGCUAACUCCGUGCCAGCAGCCGCGGUAAUACGGAGGGUGCGAGCGUUAAUCGGAAUUACUGGGCGUAAAGCGCGCGUAGGUGGCUUGAUAAGCCGGUUGUGAAAGCCCCGGGCUCAACCUGGGAACGGCAUCCGGAACUGUCAAGCUAGAGUGCAGGAGAGGAAGGUAGAAUUCCCGGUGUAGCGGUGAAAUGCGUAGAGAUCGGGAGGAAUACCAGUGGCGAAGGCGGCCUUCUGGACUGACACUGACACUGAGGUGCGAAAGCGUGGGUAGCAAACAGGAUUAGAUACCCUUGUAGCC